GAUGAACGCUGGCGGCGUGCCUAAUACAUGCAAGUCGAGCGAACAGAUAAGGAGCUUGCUCCUUUGACGUUAGCGGCGGACGGGUGAGUAACACGUGGGUAACCUACCUAUAAGACUGGCAUAACUCCGGGAAACCUGGGAUAAUGCCGGAUAACAUUUAGAACCGCAUGGUUCUAAGGAGAAAGAGGGUUUUGCUAUACCUAAUAGAGGUUCCCGCGCCGGAUUAGCUAGUUGGUAAGGUAACGGCUUACCAAGGCAACGAUACGUAGCCGACCUGAGAGGGUGAUCGGCCACACUGGAACUGAGACACGGUCCAGACUCCUACGGGAGGCAGCAGUAGGGAAUCUUCCGCAAUGGGCGAAAGCCUGACGGAGCAACGCCGCGUGAGUGAUGAAGGUCUUCGGAUCGUAAAACUCUGUUAUUAGGGAAGAACAAAUGUGUAAGUAACUGUGCACGUCUUGACGGUACCUAAUCAGAAAGCCACGGCUAACUACGUG
rnacentral:rRNA from 1 species